GGUUCGACUCCGGAGAGGGAGCCUGAGAAAUGGCUACCACAUCCAAGGAUGGCAGCAGGCGCGCAAAUUACCCACUCUCAGUACGAGGAGGUAGUGACGAAAAAUAACAAUGCGGGACUCAUCAGAGGCCUCGCAAUUGGAAUGAGCGCACUUUAAAUCGUUCGACGAGGAUCUAUUGGAGGGCAAGUCUGGUGCCAGCAGCCGCGGUAAUUCCAGCUCCAAUAGCGUAUAUUAAAGUUGUUGCAGUUAAAAAGCUCGUAGUUGGAUCUGGGGUUCGGGUCGGCGGUUUGCCGCUUCGGCGGCUACUGCCGUGCUCGACUCUUACUAGCCGGUGCGUCUUGCGGUGCUCUUCAUCGAGUGCCGUAGGAGCCUGGCAUGUUUACUUUGAAAAAAUUAGAGUGCUCAAAGCAGGCGAUUCCGCCUGAAUAGUGUUGCAUGGAAUAAUGGAAUAGGACCUCGGUUCUAUUUUGUUGGUUUUCGGAACUUGAGGUAAUGAUUAAGAGGGACGGUCGGGGGCAUUCGUAUUUCGGUGUUAGAGGUGAAAUUCUUGGAUCGCCGAAAGACGGACAAAUGCGAAAGCAUCUGCCAAGAACGUCUCCAUUAAUCAAGAACGAAAGUCAGAGGUUCGAAGACGAUCAGACACCGUCCUAGUUCUGACCAUAAACGAUGCCAACUAGCGAUCCGCAGUGGUUGCUAUAAACGGACUCUGCGAGCAGCUUCCGGGAAACCAAAGUGUUUGGGUUCCGGGGGAAGUAUGGUUGCAAAGCUGAAACUUAAAGGAAUUGACGGAAGGGCACCACCAGGAGUGGAGCCUGCGGCUUAAUUUGACUCAACACGGGGAAACUCACCCGGUCCGGACACUGUAAGGAUUGACAGAUCGAGAGCUCUUUCUUGAUUCGGUGGAUGGUGGUGCAUGGCCGUUCUUAGUUGGUGGAGUGAUUUGUCUGGUUAAUUCCGAUAACGAACGAGACUCUAGCCUGCUAACUAGUUGCGCCGUGUUCAUACGCGGCUGUAGACUUCUUAGAGGGACAGGUGGCGUUUAGCCACACGAAAUUGAGCAAUAACAGGUCUGUGAUGCCCUUAGAUGUCCGGGGCCGCACGCGCGCUACACUGAAGGAGUCAGCGUGUGCUAUCCGGGCUCGGAAGAGUUCGGUAACCCGUUGAAACUCCUUCGUGCUUGGGAUUGUGGCUUGUAAUUAUCGCGCAUGAACGAGGAAUUCCCAGUAAGUGCAAGUCAUCAGCUUGCGCUGACUACGUCCCUGCCCUUUGUACACACCGCCCGUCGCUACUACCGAUUGAAUGGUUUAGCAAGGUACUCGGAUUGGUCUCGAUCUUGUACGAAAGUGCGGGAUCUGUGGCCGAGAAGAAGGCCAAACUUGAUCAUUUAGAGGAAGUAAAAGUCGUAACAAGGUU
rnacentral:rRNA from 1 species